rnacentral:rRNA from 1 species
UCCUACGGGAGGCAGCAGUAGGGAAUCUUCCGCAAUGGACGAAAGUCUGACGGAGCAACGCCGCGUGAGUGAUGAAGGCUUUCGGGUCGUAAAACUCUGUUGUUAGGGAAGAACAAGUGCUAGUUGAAUAAGCUGGCACCUUGACGGUACCUAACCAGAAAGCCACGGCUAACUACGUGCCAGCAGCCGCGGUAAUACGUAGGUGGCAAGCGUUAUCCGGAAUUAUUGGGCGUAAAGCGCGCGCAGGUGGUUUCUUAAGUCUGAUGUGAAAGCCCACGGCUCAACCGUGGAGGGUCAUUGGAAACUGGGAGACUUGAGUGCAGAAAAGGAAAGUGGAAUUCCAUGUGUAGCGGUGAAAUGCGUAGAGAUAUGGAGGAACACCAGUGGCGAAAGCGACUUUCUGGUCUGUAACUGACACUGAAGGCCGAAAGCGUGGGGAGCAAACAGGAUUAAAUACCCUGGUAGCCCCCCCCGUAAACAAUGAAUGCUAAAUGUUAAAGGGUUUCCCCC